GGCGGUGACUCGGGGGUGAUUGACAGCAGAGUCAUCCAUAGCUGCAGACACUUCCAGCUGGUGGUGAGCUGUGCUUCCCAUGCCAGCCACUGCACUUCUGGUGGUCGGGAAAAAGGUGGAGAAGGAGGGACGAGGAGAACACCGAGGUACAGGGUGCAAGGAGUUGUGAAGACCCAAGGGAAAAAAAAAAAGAAAAGGUGGGAUGAAGAAAAAAUUCUGAAGUCCUUUAUGAAAGUCAAGUCUGUAUGUUGCUUUCAGCUGAAAGAAAAAAUGUUGGAUCAGCUCGCUGUUCAAAAUAAAUUAAGUUAGCCAGACCAGAAACUAAACAGAAGAAUUUUUGAAACUUUAAGAAGAACAUUAGCAUAAGGAGAAGAUCAUAACCCCAGCUUUAUCGUGCAUGAACGAGCUAAAGACCACAUCAGGUAACACGUGGACACUCCUCAACUAUUUCAAACAGUCAGGAGUACAAAACCCAGGAAAUAAGGAAAAGAAAAGCACGUUCUACUCUCAAAAUGGCCUGUCUAAUCCACACAAAAACUGCGAGAGUAGUUGAAAGUUGACUCUUACUGAAAGCAGGCAACAGCUCAUGGGUUAAUACCAACAGGAGAGGAUGGUGAGCCCAGGAGGGAUCAUAUUUCCCCAUAGAAAAGUACUUGGCACCAGACAAAGAAUAUGUUCCCUCUCCAAAUAUCCUUCUUCAUUAUUAUAUAGAAUUACUUUUCAGAGUGAUUCAGAGGUUGACGCACUAUGAAUCCUCAGCCUUGAGAACAAAGAGUCUCACAACAACCUUCCAUCCAAGACAAAAAAAGACUCCUAAACACUUCAUGUUUUUAACAGAAAUGAGUCUGCAGUGGUUUGGAAAUUACCUCUCAGUUUCUCACAAGAUGAGAUUAUGAUUUUGCUAAAAGUGUGGAACAUGCAAGGUUAUUGUCUUUUGCAGCUGUGUAUAAGAAAAUUUAACUGCAGGUUAUUUAUCACACUUUAAGAGCUGUAGAUCCUUUUAUCAGACCAAAGAUUUCUCCUAUUUUAGGUGUAUGAAAAAGAAGGUUACUUGAAGAAACAUCUAAAAGUUGGCUGUUGGAGUUUUUCUUUAGGGACAGGGAGAAAGAGAAAGUGAUCUGUAAUGAAAUCAGGGGGUUUUUUAGCUUACUGAUGAAUUAGGAUUUCUUAUAAAAGACUUAAGUUUUCACCUGUUAUGAAAAAUUUCCUGCUGCUGUGUCCCAACUGCAUGAUCAGUUAGCAAAGCAUGCAUUUGCUAUCUGCUUUCUAUGCUGACUAGUGUCAGUACUAUAGGUUAUAAUCUGUCAUUUAAUACUGAAGUUCAUUUCUAAGUUGCAGAGAAAAGUUGCAGACAAGGCCAUUGAAAGCAUAUACUCCACUGCUCACUAUGUAGUCUGGGGCUAGGAAAGCACUUCUCAAAACAGCUCAUCAUCCAAAUUAUGGCAUAUUAACUGAAUCACUGAACGUGAAAACAUAUAGCAGAAGGAUUAACUAUUAAUUAAUAGAAAAUUCGUGUUGUUAAAUUUUCUGACCAUGUUGGUUUGGCUUUGUUAUUUUCUUCCCCUAUUAUCACAGCAAGAGGACAGAAUAUAUGGAGGGGGGACCAGACUUUUCUUGGCAAGGCAAAGAAAAUACUGUAUUUCCUUGACACUUCCCAGACUUUCUCCAUUUCCAUGACACUGUCUCUUUGUUCAUUAUAUUAUUAUUUCCUCUCCACUAUAGGACAAGGACAUAAGUUUCAGGUCCUUCAAGAGUGUGUUCAUCUGAAACCUUAAUGAGUGAGGAACGAAUUUUUUGCCUCCAUUACAGUACUUUACAGCUCUUAUUAGUGUUGAGUUUCACUACUAUUCCUGUGAGAAGCUAUAGAUAGAAGUCACACACUGCAGAGUAAUUGUAGUUAUGUGUUAAAGACUUAAAAAAUGUUCAAAAAUAAAUUGAUAAUGCAGAUUCAGGAAUUAAAAUAAUUAUUCAACGUAUGUGAUUGGGCACAAUAUAAUAAUGGUGAUAUAAUUACAUAACAUAUAUGAUAAUACCAUAUAACCUAAUAUGUAUAAUACAAUGAAAAUACUCUAGCAGGAUAGUUGAAAGAGGACACUCAAUAUUUCACCUGAAUGUCACAGUUUGAGAAGUUUGGGGUUGUUUUUCUGGUGUCUGGAAUGUGUGUGUGGAUGUAUGAGUGGUUGGUUAGUUGGUUGGGUUUUUUGUCCAGAAUCCAAUCAAAAUAAAACAAUUUAUAUUCUAGGAGAUUGUGGAACAGAAAUUAAUAAUGAUAAAAAAAAAUAGGAACAUCUCAGCAAGGGUGGCAGUGAAAAAGUGCAGCAUUAUUCUGCUCUCAAAUUACAAAAAGUCUAUGAGGUUUUCAAAGCCAUCUUUGAUAACAGAAGCAGAAAAAAAAAGGACUGUCUAGUACACUGAAACCCUGAGCAGGUAAUGAAAUGUCUUUUUAAGAGCUUGAGAUUACCAUUAGGACCCUGUGUAGGAAAAGAAUUUCACAAUGUGCAAGUUUACACUGGGAUUUUAGUUUAAACAUUACAUUAUCUUAAGAACUGCAAAACCUUCACACUGUCGCCUUUACAAUUAGUGAUUUGUGUUUAGCCAAGAGCCUCUGCAGCAAGCAAAAAGAACCAAAACAAAUAAGAGAGUGUUUGUUGCAGUAUUAAUACAAUACAGAAUUAUUGUAAAUUAUGGAGAUCUCCAGAAAAUUAUAUUUCUCUCUGAGGGAGCUGGGGAUGUUUAGCCUGGUUGAAAGGGGGUGAUGGGAGCAGAGGAAAUGGCCUUGAAUUUUACCAGGGGAGGUUUAGUUUAGAUGAAGAAUUCUGCAUCCCAAGGGUAGUCAGGCAUUGGAACAGGAUGCUCAGCGCAGUGGUGGUGUCACUGUCCCUGGAAAUGUUCAAAAAACCUGUGGAUGUGGCUUCUCGGAACACGUUUUAGCAGUGAACGUGGCAAUGGUAGGUUAGUGUUUGAAGUCAGCUUAGGACUCUCCCAGCCUUAAUGAUUACAUAAUUCUAUGAAAUAUCUCUAUACCAAGACUACAUUUUAAAAUAGGAGUGUGAUGAGGACAGAUUUUUUCCCUACUUUUUUUUUCACCCAAAAGAAUCAAAAGUAAAAUUUCCUUACUUCCCAUAUUUCAGAAAUGUUAAUGUGACAAGUUUUCUACUGUAAAACAUUAAAACAUGGCUUAUUAAAGAAAUUCUGUAAAUAUGUAGAUACAGAUAUAAUCAUUUACAUUGUCUGGUUAACUAAAUAUAUUUAACUUUUAUCUAAUGACAUCUAGAUUUCCCUUGCUUUAUAUAUCUUUGAGAUGUGUCCACCAGGUUUUUCCUAUUGUACAAGAAUAAACGCAUUCAGAAAACCAGAUUUUUUGUAACAAAACAUAAUUAAAAACUCUAAUCAGAACUUCAAUAAUAAUAAAAAAAAUCUUGAGAAAAGCCAUAUGGGUGAAGAGCAGAAUUUGAUUUCAGUUAGUAGCUAUUUUUGAAGUUCGGUUUCCAAAAGAGAAAAGCUAUGUAAUAACUAACUGAAAUUAUUCCAGUUAAAAGCCACAUGAAGGAAACUGAAAUUAUGAGAGGAAGGUAGUCUGAUAUUCUGUAACUAUUUAAGGUCUAUCUUUUAAACAUUAAUCUUAGUGCUUGUUCACAUUUCUGAAAGGAAGCAUAUCUGAAAAUGUUUUGGGUUUUUUCUUCUUAAAUUCGUCAUAUUUGUUGAGGUAGAGAGAGUUGAAAAGUUCCAAAAAUUAACAGUUUUAUAAGAACAUACCAAACUCUGCUGUGAACUAACAGUAUUGAAAUUAUCAGAGGUAAAUACGACAAAUGCACACCAUAGCUGGGGAAUCUUCUUCCAUCAUUACUCAUGCUGUAGCUCAGUUGGGGCUAGUACUUUUCCUCUUUCUCCAGUACUUUUCCUCUUUCUCCAACUUUAGCUUAAUCACCAAACAUCAGAUGAUGUUUUUGAUGCCAACACUACCCUUGCAAUUUCCAACCACUUCAUCAGAAGAUUCAGAGCUGGAUCCCUAAACACAAAAAUAAAUAUAUAAUAAAUUUCCAGGUAAUUAAUGAGGAAAAUCUCAUUGUUAUGGCAUUAGUUGCAAUAACAUUUCUUCAUUGGUUAUAGAAAACUAAACUUCAAACUGUAAAACACCAGAAAAUCUCUUUCCUUUUAGUUUUCCAAUUAUUUUUUUAAAUGAUGUAAUUAUUUCUGCAUUUAUAUUAAAAAAAAAUCAACAUGUUGGCUAACUUGGGAUUAGAGCAUGCGCACUAUGCAACUUCUCAUUAUAUUCUAGGUUAACUGCUCAAUGAGCAAUCUUUUAUUAUCUUAUUCAAACCUAGUUUAGUUAUUAUUUCUCCAAAAGCAUUAAGUCUCAAUUACGCCUCAUACAAUUGAGCAGCUUGAGGAGUUGCAAUAUUUCAGGAGUUCAAGUAGUGUCAUUUUUACUAUCCUGGACAUCUUUCAAAUUAUUAAAGUUAUUUAAAAUAAGGAACUGGUUCAUGAUACACAUCAGGCCUUUCUCCAGUGCUUUCACACAUAAGCCAAGACCACUUAAAGAUACAACUUCAGAUUAAAUCUCCUUUGGCUUCAGAUCCUUGUGAGAAUAUUUUUCUGGCCAGGUAGCAGUUUACUGUGAUUCAGGUAGAGUGAAGAUACAAAAGCUUUCAAAGGAAACUAUUCCUGUCCCCUCAUCUGGAACCAUCAAUUUCACAAAGAGUAAUAACAAUGUGAAUUUUAAAUUAAAAUAAAUUUAACUAGUUUCUUAAGAAGACAGAAAUGAAGUGCAAAAGCUAAGGCUUGAACAUAUAACACCACAGAAAUUGUAUAUAAAUUAUGAAGGAGGUUGCCUAUUUGUAGGUAUUUGCUUCAGUCCCUGCCUAUUCAGCUUGUCAGAAUU